UUGACCUCAAAUCGGGUGAGACUACCCGCUGAACUUAA
rnacentral:rRNA from 23 species